GUAAUGGCUCACCAAGGCGACGAUGGGUAGCCGACCUGAGAGGGUAUCGGCCACCUGGGACUGAGACCCGGCCCAGAUUCCUACGGGAGGCAGCAGUAGGGAAUCUUCCGCAAUGGACGAAAGUCUGACGGAGCAACGCCGCGUGAGUGAUGAAGGUUUUCGGAUCGUAAAGCUCUGUUGUUAGGGAAGAACAAGUGCGAGAGUAACUGCUCGCACCUUGACGGUACCUAACCAGAAAGCCACGGCUAACUACGUGCCAGCAGCCGCGGUAAUACGUAGGUGGCAAGCGUUGUCCGGAAUUAUUGGGCGUAAAGGGCUCGCAGGCGGUUUCUUAAGUCUGAUGUGAAAGCCCCCGGCUCAACCGGGGAGGGUCAUUGGAAACUGGGAAACUUGAGUGCAGAAGAGGAGAGUGGAAUUCCACGUGUAGCGGUGAAAUGCGUAGAGAUGUGGAGGAACACCAGUGGCGAAGGCGACUCUCUGGUCUGUAACUGACGCUGAGGAGCGAAAGCGUGGGGAGCGAACAGGAUUAGAUACCCUGGUAGUCCACGCCGUAAACGAUGAGUGCUAAGUGUUAGGGGGUUUCCGCCCCUUAGUGCUGCAGCUAACGCAUUAAGCACUCCGCCUGGGGAGUACGGUCGCAAGACUGAAACUCAAAGGAAUUGACGGGGGCCCGCACAAGCGGUGGAGCAUGUGGUUUAAUUCGAAGCAACGCGAAGAACCUUACCAGGUCUUGACAUCCUCUGACAACCCUAGAGAUAGGGCUUUCCCUUCGGGGACAGAGUGACAGGUGGUGCAUGGUUGUCGUCAGCUCGUGUCGUGAGAUGUUGGGUUAAGUCCCGCAACGAGCGCAACCCUUGAUCUUAGUUGCCAGCAUUUAGUUGGGCACUCUAAGGUGACUGCCGGUGACAAACCGGAGGAAGGUGGGGAUGACGUCAAAUCAUCAUGCCCCUUAUGACCUGGGCUACACACGUGCUACAAUGGACAGAACAAAGGGCUGCGAGACCGCAAGGUUUAGCCAAUCCCAUAAAUCUGUUCUCAGUUCGGAUCGCAGUCUGCAACUCGACUGCGUGAAGCUGGAAUCGCUAGUAAUCGCGGAUCAGCAUGCCGCGGUGAAUACGUUCCCGGGCCUUGUACACACCGCCCGUCACACCACGAGAGUUUGCAACACCCGAAGUCGGUGAGGUAACCUUUAUGGAG
rnacentral:rRNA from 1 species